rnacentral:rRNA from 1 species
GACGAACGCUGGCGGCGUGCUUAACACAUGCAAGUCGAGCGAUGAAGUUACUUCGGUAAUGAAUUAGCGGCGAACGGGUGAGGAACACGUGAGGAAUCUGCCAUUCACUCUGGGAUAACACCGGGAAACCGGUGCUAAUACCGGAUAUAUAAAUUUUGCGGCAUCGCAGAAUUUAGAAAGUUUUUCGGUGAAUGAUGACCUCGCGGCCUAUCAGCUUGUUGGUGAGGUAAUGGCUCACCAAGGCGACGACGGGUAGCCGGCCUGAGAGGGCGACCGGCCACACUGGGACUGAGACACGGCCCAGACUCCUACGGGAGGCAGCGGUGGGGAAUAUUGGGCAAUGGAGGAAACUCUGACCCAGCGACGCCGCGUGAGGGAUGAAGGCCUUCGGGUUGUAAACCUCUUUCAGUAGGGAAGAAGCGAAAGUGACGGUACCUAAAGAAGAAGCACCGGCUAACUAUGUGCCAGCAGCCGCCGCGG